UGAUGACUGUUCCUCCUAUUGCCUUCAGUCCUGGCCCUAGGAUUUUAAGUCAUCAUAGAUUAAAAUUUGAUUUUCUUCACUCAGAGAAUAUUAGGAUAAUGGGAUUAUCUGUGGAUUCUCUGAAAUUUGCGGAGUCAAACAGUU
rnacentral:snoRNA from 1 species